GAUGAACGCUGGCGGCGUGCCUAACACAUGCGAGUCGAGCGAUUUACUUCGGUAAAGAGCGGCGGACGGGUGAGUAACGCGUGGGUAACCUGCCCUGUACACACGGAUAACAUACCGAAAGGUAUGCUAAUACGAGAUAAUAUGCUUUUAUCGCAUGGUAGAAGUAUCAAAGCUUUUGCGGUACAGGAUGGACCCGCGUCUGAUUAGCUAGUUGGUAAGGUAACGGCUUACCAAGGCGACGAUCAGUAGCCGACCUGAGAGGGUGAUCGGCCACAUUGGAACUGAGACACGGUCCAAACUCCUACGGGAGGCAGCAGUGGGGAAUAUUGCACAAUGGGCGAAAGCCUGAUGCAGCAACGCCGCGUGAGCGAUGAAGG
rnacentral:rRNA from 1 species